rnacentral:rRNA from 1 species
GCGUGAGUGAUGAAGGCCUUAGGGUUGUAAAGCUCUUUUACCCGGGAUGAUAAUGACAGUACCGGGAGAAUAAGCCCCGGCUAACUCCGUGCCAGCAGCCGCGGUAAUACGGAGGGGGCUAGCGUUGUUCGGAAUUACUGGGCGUAAAGCGCGCGUAGGCGGCUUUGUAAGUUAGAGGUGAAAGCCCAGAGCUCAACUCUGGAACUGCCUUUAAGACUGCAUCGCUUGAAUCAUGGAGAGGUCAGUGGAAUUCCGAGUGUAGAGGUGAAAUUCGU